rnacentral:rRNA from 1 species
GACGAACGCUGGCGGCGCGCCUAACACAUGCAAGUCGAACGAGCGGGAGAGAGCUUGCUUUCUCGAGCGGGUGCGGACGGUAGAGUAACGACGUGAGGAACCUGCCUCAAAGAGGGGGACAACAGUUGGAAACGACUGCUAAUACCGCAUAAGCCCACAGGUCGGCAUCGACCUGAGGGAAAAGGAGCAAUCCGCUUUGAGAUGGCCUCGCGUCCGAUUAGCUAGUUGGUGAGGUAACGGCCCACCAAGGCGACGAUCGGUAGCCGGACUGAGAGGUUGAACGGCCACAUUGGGACUGAGACACGGUCCAAA